rnacentral:rRNA from 1 species
GACGAACGCUGGCGGCGUGCCUAAUACAUGCAAGUUGAGCGCUGAAGGUUGGUACUUGUACCAACUGGAUGAGCAGCGAACGGGUGAGUAACGCGCGGGGAAUCUGCCUUUGAGCGGGGGACAACAUUUGGAAACGAAUGCUAAUACCGCAUAAAAACUUUAAACACAAGUUUUAAGUUUGAAAGAUGCAAUUGCAUCACUCAAAGAUGAUCCCGCGUUGUAUUAGCUAGUUGGUGAGGUAAAGGCUCACCAAGGCGAUGAUACAUAGCCGACCUGAGAGGGUGAUCGGCCACGUUGGGACUGAGACACGGCCCAAACUCCUACGGGAGGCAGCAGUAGGGAAUCUUCGGCAAUGGACGAAAGUCUGACCGAGCAACGCCGCGUGAGUGAAGAAGGUUUUCGGAUCGUAAAACUCUGUUGGUAGAGAAGAACGUUGGUGAGAGUGGAAAGCUCAUCAAGUGACGGUAACUACCCAGAAAGGGACGGCUAACUACGUG